UACGGAGGGGGCGAGCGUUAUUCGGAAUUAUUGGGCGUAAAGGGCGCGUAGGCGGCUUGGGAAGUCCGUGGUGAAAGCCCGAGGCUCAACUUCGGGUCGGCCAUGGAUACUCCUAAGCUCGAGUCGACUAGAGGCUAAUGGAAUUCCGGGUGUAGCGGUGGAAUGCGUAGAGAUCCGGAAGAACACCGGUGGCGAAGGCGGUUAGCUGGGGUCGGACUGACGCUGAGGCGCGACAGCGUGGGGAGCAAACAGG
rnacentral:rRNA from 1 species